rnacentral:rRNA from 1 species
GUUAAAAAGCUCGUAGUUGAAUUUCGGGGUUAGUAGGUUGGUCAUGCCUCUGGUAUGUACUGGUCUCACUGAUUCCUCCUUCCUGAUGAACCGUAAUGCCAUUAAUUUGGUGUUGCGGGGAAUUUGGACUGUUACUUUGAAAAAAUUAGAGUGUUUAAAGCAAGCUAACGCUUGAAUACAUUAGCAUGGAAUAAUGAAAUAGGACGUUCGAUCCUAUUUUGUUGGUUUCUAGGAUUGACGUAAUGAUUAAUAGGGAUAGUUGGGGGCAUUAGUAUUCAAUUGUCAGAGGUGAAAUUCUUGGAUUUAUUGAAGACUAACUACUGCGAAAGCAUUUGCCAAGGAUGUUUUCAUUAAUCAAGAACGAAAGUUAGGGGAUCGAAGACGAUCAGAUACCGUCGUAGUCUUAAC